rnacentral:rRNA from 1 species
GAUGAACGCUGGCGGCGUGCCUAACACAUGCAAGUCGAGCGAUUCUCUUCGGAGAAGAGCGGCGGACGGGUGAGUAACGCGUGGGUAACCUGCCCUGUACACACGGAUAACAUACCGAAAGGUAUGCUAAUACGAGAUAAUAUGCUUUUAUCGCAUGGUAGAAGUAUCAAAGCUUUUGCGGUACAGGAUGGACCCGCGUCUGAUUAGCUAGUUGGUAAGGUAACGGCUUACCAAGGCGACGAUCAGUAGCCGACCUGAGAGGGUGAUCGGCCACAUUGGAACUGAGACACGGUCCAAACUCCUACGGGAGGCGGCAGUGGGGAAUAUUGCACAAUGGGCGAAAGUCUGAUGCAGCAACGCCGCGUGAGCGAUGAAGGCCUUCGGGUCGUAAAGCUCUGUCCUCAAGGAAGAUAAUGACGGUACUUGAGGAGGAAGCCCCGGCUAACUACGUGCCAGCCGCCGCGGUAAGAC